rnacentral:rRNA from 1 species
CCUACGGGCGGCUGCAGUCGAGAAUCAUUCACAAUGGGGGAAACCCUGAUGGUGCGACGCCGCGUGGGGGAAUGAAGGUCUUCGGAUUGUAAACCCCUGUCAUGUGGGAGCAAAUUAAAAAGAUAGUACCACAAGAGGAAGAGACGGCUAACUCUGUGCCAGCAGCCGCGGUAAUACAGAGGUCUCAAGCGUUGUUCGGAAUCACUGGGCGUAAAGCGUGCGUAGGCUGUUUCGUAAGUCGUGUGUGAAAGGCGCGGGCCCAACCCGCGGACGGCACAUGAUACUGCGAGACUAGAGUAAUGGAGGGGGAACCGGAAGUCUCGGUGUAGCAGUGAAAUGCGUAGAUAUCGAGAGGAACACUCGUGGCGAAGGCGGGUUCCUGGACAUUAACUGACGCUGAGGCACGAAGGCCAGGGGAGCGAAAGGGAUUAGAUACCCCUGUAGUC